UGCAUUGUUGCAAUAUUGAUUGCAAUCAGUCUAACGAAUCUUACCAUCAAAGAAUCGCAUGCAGUGUGCUGCCGGGAAGGACUCUCAAAAGUAUUUUGUCGAGAUUGUACACAGAGGCAAAGUCUCUACUGUGGGAAAGGAAGCUGCAAUAUAUUCGGCUGUGCUUGCAAGGGUGGGUGUAAACGAGACUGUGAUGGCAUACUUUCCGAUGUCAAGUGGUUUAAAACUAGUGCCGCUUAUACUAGAUGCCGUUGUCGCAACAAGAGAUCCAUAACAGACGAAAUAAAAGAUGGAUAUGUCGCUAGGGCUGUCUCUUUCGAUGUCACUGAUACAAACGGAGAAUAAACUUUCUUGGAGUCCAGAAUUGUCAAGCGACAAGCAAUAUGCACAUGAAAAGAAGCUGUGAGGAUCAUGCUUUAUUCCAAUAAUAUUAUUAAUAUCAGAAAAAUAUAAUUAUCAUCAAUAGAAGUCGAAUA